GCUCUUGAUACUAAAGCUAAGUGGGUGUGCUCUAAGGCUCAGAAGACAGUCUUCAACUAUCACCCACAGGGACUGGGCCUGACUCUAAAACUUCCACAAGGGCAAGUUCACAAUCCUAUUUCAUGCAUCCUAUUUAAAUGAACUUCUCACUACCUGUACUAUAUUUAACACUUCAAACGAUAUCUUUGCAGGACUGGGAAUGUGGCCUAGUGGUAGAGUGCUUGCCUAGCAUGCAUGAAGCCCUGGGUUCGAUUCCUCAACACCACAUAUACAGAAAAAGCCAGAAGUGGAACUGUG